rnacentral:tRNA from 1 species
GCCGUAUUCGUCUAGUAGGCCCAGGACGCCAGGUUUUCAUCCUGGAAAUCGGGGGUUCGAAUCCCCCAUACGGUA